rnacentral:rRNA from 1 species
GGUGUUACGCCAACAGGUGGAUGGCUCGGCUCAAGAGCUGACGAAGGACGUG